rnacentral:rRNA from 1 species
GAUUGAGGUCUGCAACUCGACCUCAUGAAGUUGGAAUCGCUAGUAAACGCGAAUCAGCCACGUCGCGUUGAAUACGUUCUCGGGUCUUGUACUCACCGCCCGUCACACCAAGAGAGCCGGCAAUGCCCGAACUCCGAUGUACUUCGGAGGAAGGCAGGGCUGGUGAUAAGGGUGAAGUCGUAACAAGGCAUCCGUAGCGGAAGCUGUGGAUGGAUCACCUCCUUU